AGCGGCGGACGGGUGAGUAAUGUCUGGGAAACUGCCUGAUGGAGGGGGAUAACUACUGGAAACGGUAGCUAAUACCGCAUAACGUCUCAGGACCAAAGAGGGGGACCUUCGGGCCUCUUGCCAUCAGAUGUGCCCAGAUGGGAUUAGCUAGUAGGUGGGGUAACGGCUCACCUAGGCGACGAUCCCUAGCUGGUCUGAGAGGAUGACCAGCCACACUGGAACUGAGACACGGUCCAGACUCCUACGGGAGGCAGCAGUGGGGAAUAUUGCACAAUGGGCGCAAGCCUGAUGCAGCCAUGCCGCGUGUAUGAAGAAGGCCUUCGGGUUGUAAAGUACUUUCAGCGGGGAGGAAGGUGUUGAGGUUAAUAACCUCAGCAAUUGACGUUACCCGCAGAAGAAGCACCGGCUAACUCCGUGCCAGCAGCCGCGGUAAUACGGAGGGUGCAAGCGUUAAUCGGAAUUACUGGGCGUAAAGCGCACGCAGGCGGUCUGUCAAGUCGGAUGUGAAAUCCCCG
rnacentral:rRNA from 1 species